rnacentral:rRNA from 1 species
AGUGAACGCUGGCGGUAGGCCUAACACAUGCAAGUCGAACGGCAGCACAGUAAGAGCUUGCUCUUACGGGUGGCGAGUGGCGGACGGGUGAGGAAUACAUCGGAAUCUACUUUUUCGUGGGGGAUAACGUAGGGAAACUUACGCUAAUACCGCAUACGACCUACGGGUGAAAGCAGGGGAUCUUCGGACCUUGCGCGAUUGAAUGAGCCGAUGUCGGAUUAGCUAGUUGGCGGGGUAAAGGCCCACCAAGGCGACGAUCCGUAGCUGGUCUGAGAGGAUGAUCCGCCACACUGGAACUGAGACACGGUCCAGACUCCUACGGGAGGACGCAGUGGGGAAUAUUGGACAAUGGGGGAAAGCCUGAUCCAGCCAUACCGCGUGAGUGAAGAAGGCCUUCGGGUUGUAAAGCCCUUUUGUUGGGAAAGAAAAGCAGCAGGUUAAUACGCGGCUGUUCUGACGGUACCCAAAGAAUAAGCACCGGCUAACUUCGUG